rnacentral:rRNA from 1 species
UACGUAGGGAGCAAGCGUUGUCCGGAAUUACUGGGCGUAAAGGGCGCGUAGGUGGGUGCUUAAGUCAGGUGUGAAAACUCUGGGCUCAACCUGGAGACUGCACUUGAAACUGGGUAUCUUGAGGGCAGGAGAGGAAAGUGGAAUUCCUAGUGUAGCGGUGAAAUGCGUAGAUAUUAGGAGGAACACCAGUGGCGAAGGCGACUUUCUGGACUGUACCUGACGCUGAGGCGCGAAAGCGUGGGUAGCGA